GGAGCCUCCGUGUGCCAAGCCUACCUUCCUGCCUUCGGCCAGCAGCCCAAGAUGCAGAAUUGAGUCCGAAAUGGAUAAUGAACAGAACUCCAAUACCUCAAAGCAGAGAUUCUCGGGGAAGGUGCACCUCUGCGUGGCCCGCUACAGCUACAACCCCUUCGAUGGACCCCCAAUGAAAACCCCGAAGCCGAGCUGCCCCUCACGGCGGG